CCUGUUCAUUUUCUCACUCACCCACACACCCCCCAGCAGCUAUUUAUCCAGUCACUACCCCGCGCUGGAGAAGCCAGAAUCUGACAGACACAGCACACAGCCACACAUGCUCACAGCCUCAGAGAAUCCCAGAGCCCUCCGGUGAAGACUCGGGUGAAGCUGAUGGAGAUCGAGGAGGGUUGACUUGGGGUGGAGGCUCCCUGCUGUGGAGAGGGGACAGAGCAGGGCAUGGGAGCUCAGGUUGCGCUGGGCACUCAUGACACGCCAGGGACCCUGGAAGGUCCUUUGCAUAGGUGCUCAUCUUUCUCAUGGCUCUGAGAGAAAGGUGCUAGGCUCUGUCCCUGCCACUUUCCAGAUGAGGAAACUGAGACAGGAGUGUUUGAAGAACUCACCAAUUCACCCAAGCAGCACAGCCACACAGAGGAGCAACAGUGUGGCACUAAGCCAGGGACGAUGGAGGAAAGAAGAGAAAGACAGGAGCAAUGGCCUUCAGUGCUCCUCUUCCCAGCCCAACACCUGGCCGGCUAGGAUGGCAGAGGGUCAACGACUGCCACUGUGCCUGGCCUCUAGUUAACGCCUGAGAAAGCUGACUCCUUCCACCCUCUGAGCAGCAAGUUCCCUCCCGCCUGGUAAACUCACUCCUCUGCCAUCCUGUCCGGUAGCAGCCCUCUGUUCUGGAGAAGCAGAGCUGCCUUUGAUGUUCAGUGUGCACCCCCAGCCUUCCGGAAACAUCUCUGCCACGGGCAAGAUCUGCGUGGUGCGCAGUUGGGACUUCGCUGGUCACUCUGCAGGCCACUGAGCUAAGUGACCUGUUCCCUGCCUGGGCCUCCCCUGGUGCCCUCCCUUUGUCCCUAGGUGGGGCUGAGAGGACACAGUGGGCACUGACACUUAAACCUCCCAGCAUCAUCAUUCUUAGUCCCGUGUUUCAGAUUAAGAGACUGAAGUCCUGCUUUUAAAAAUUAAAAGAAUUAGGUUUAAAAGGAAAGUGGAAUAAACAGGCUGAGAUUUAGGAAGCGACUCAGGGAGGAAUAUCAGCAACCUUAAGUUAGAUACUGCCACUAGCCCCAAGGAAAGCAUGUCACAGAGCAGGUGACAUUCAACGUCUCCGGCAGGUGAGUGGAGGAGCUGGGAUCCCUCCCAGACCCAGGGGGUCUGGCACCCAUGAGUGUCCUCAGUGCCCUCUCCAGGAUAGUGUAGUGUCAUUUCCUCAAAGGCCUCUGAGUGGGUCAGCUUUGCAUCCAUUAUGACAAAAUGCCUGAGAAAGUCUCCUAUGAGGAGGGAAGACUUAUUUUGGCUCCUGGCUUCAGAGGUUUCAGUCCAAGUUGGUUGGCUCCAUUGUCUUGGGUCUGUGACGAGGCAGAACACUGCAGUGGGGACCCAUGUGGAGGGAAGCUGCUCACAUAUGCAGCCAGGAAGCAGAGGGAGUGAGGGAGGGGCCAGGGUCCAGCCUCUGUCCAAGGGCACGCCCCCAGUGACCUCACUUCCUCCCCUAGGCCCUGCCUCCUGAAGGCUCAGCCCCGCCCAUGCUGCAAGCUGACAGUCAAGCCUUCAGCACGUGGCCUCUGAGGACCAUUUAAGAUCCAAACCACAGCAGCAUCUUCCUACCCCUGGCCAUGAGCCAGCUGCCCAUUUCCAGGGCCUUGGGAGACGUGCUGUCCAUGGACCCGAGGACACUCUUAAAUUACAGAGACAUCAGGACGUCAGCACAGGGAACCUGGACACCCACUGCCUUAACCUGUGGCCAGAGUUUCAGCACACACUGGUGUGAGGUCCCUCCUGAGGACAUUCUGAGGAGGACACAACAUUGCUUUGGAGUGUUCUGCCCAUUGUAGACCCUAUUGUGUCCCCCAAAUUCAUAAAUUGAAGCCCUAAUCCCCUCCCGCAGAAUGCGACUCUAUUUGGAGAAAGGGCCUUUAAAGAGUUCAUUAAAGAGGCCACAAGGGUGACUGGUGUCCUUAAAGAAGAAGUCUGGAUGCACCAGGAGCCACAGCAUGUGCACAAGCAGAGAGAGACCAUGUGAGGUCACAACCAGAGAAACAGGCCUCAGAGAUUCCAGACCUUCCGAUGCCUUGACGGUGGAUUUCCAGCCUCCAGAACCGUGAGAAGAUAACUACCUGCUGUUUGAGCUGCCCGACUGCGGGGUCUGUUAUGGAGCCCUCGCUAGCCAAGACACUGCCCAAUGCACCUCCUGAAUCUACACAGGCAAACACCAGCAAACCCAAACGGAGAGCCGUCCCGCAGAACGGUCAAAAAUGUCAAGUGGGAAAGACAAAGGAGACGCUGGGGCGGAGGGAGGUCGGCCCCAGAUCAGAGGAGGCAGAAGAGACUCUUGAGCCUGGAUCAGAUCCCAAACCAGGACAAAACUUCUCCUUUGCUAUAAAAGUCAUUGUCAGAACAUU